AGGGAACUCCAACCGUGUUAAGCCUGCUGAAGAGCUGCAGUAGGAAAGGUUUCACCUGCAGAGCAGCUGUGGAGCUGAAGGAGAGACAGCAGGACCUUAGCAGCAAUCGUGGUCUUCUUCAGACAGUAAUAAUGACAGCAUGGCUCUCACCCCCCAGAACUGCUCAGUGGAGAGGUCUGGCACUGCAGAGUCUCCUUUUGGAUGAAGCUGAACUGGAAGAGGCAAUCCAGAGGCACACAUGGUGCUGCAGCUGCUGAUGGCUUCUCAGUUGAUGAUACCAUUCUAACGUGGCUAGGAAGUAAAGCCCUGGAGAUCACAGAAUGAUAAAGGCUGGAGAUCAUCUAGUUCAAGCCCUCUGCCAGAGCAGGUUCACCUACAGCAGGUAAGAGCAUGUGCUGUGGGUGCCAAGUGCUUAGCAU